ACAGGCAGAAAAGGCAAGAAGAGAAGAAGAGAAGAGAAGUCAAGAGAAGAGAAGAGAAGAGAGGAAAAAUAUUUGAAAGUUCAUCAGGUUGGUAGAAGCCCCUUGAACUUUCUUCGACCUUUUUUGGCCUUCCUCCUCCUCCUAU
rnacentral:ribozyme from 11 species